GUGCACCAGGCGAGAAACUUCGGCAAUGGGGGAAACCCUGACCGAGCGACGCCGCGUGUGGGAUGAAGGCCCCUGGGUUGUAAACCACUGUCAGAGGGGAUGAAAUGCCGGAAAGUUAUCUCUCCGGUUUGACAUAGCCUCAGAGGAAGCACGGGCUAAGUUCGUGCCAGCAGCCGCGGUAAGACGAACUGUGCAAACGUUAUUCGGAAUCACUGGGCUUGAGGAGUGCGUAGGCGGUUUCGUAAGUAGGGUGUGAAAGCCCCCGGCUCAACCGGGGAAUUGCGUCCUAAACUGCGAGGCUGGAGUGAGGUAGGGGUGUGUGGAACUUCCAGUGGAGCGGUGAAAUGUGUUGAUAUUGGAAGGAACGCCGGUGGCGAAAGCGACACACUGGACCUUGUCUGACGCUGAGGCACGAAAGCCAGGGGAGCAAACGGGAUUAGAUACCCGUGUAGU
rnacentral:rRNA from 1 species